rnacentral:rRNA from 1 species
UACGGGGGGAGCAAGCGUUGUUCGGAUUUACUGGGCGUAAAGGGCGCGUAGGCGGCCUGUGCAAGUCAGUUGUGAAAUCUCCGAGCUUAACUCGGAACGGUCAACUGAUACUGCUCGGCUAGAGUGCGGAAGGGGCAACUGGAAUUCUCGGUGUAGCGGUGAAAUGCGUAGAUAUCGAGAGGAACACCUGCGGCGAAGGCGGGUUGCUGGGCUGACACUGACGCUGACAGCGCGAAAGCUAGGGGAGCGAACGGG